AGCAGUAGCCGCGGUAAUACAGAGGGUGCGAGCGUUAAUCGGAUUUACUGGGCGUAAAGCGUGCGUAGGCGGCUAAUUGAGUCGGAUGUGAAAUCCCCGAGCUUAACUUGGGAAUUGCAUUCGAUACUGGUUAGCUAGAGUGUGGGAGAGGAUGGUAGAAUUCCAGGUGUAGCGGUGAAAUGCGUAGAGAUCUGGAGGAAUACCGAUGGCGAAGGCAGCCAUCUGGCCUAACACUGACGCUGAGGUACGAAAGCAUGGGGAGCAAACAGGAUUAGAUACCCCAGUAGUCCCUGUCUCUUAUAA
rnacentral:rRNA from 1 species